AGCAGCCGCGGUAAUUCCAGCUCCAAUAGCGUAUAUUAAAGUUGUUGCAGUUAAAAAGCUCGUAGUUGAAUUUCGGGAUCAGUUGGUCGGUCGUGCCUCGGUACGUACUGGUCAAAUUGAUUCCUACCUUCUGACGAACCACGAUGUCAUUAAUUUGGUGUCGCGGGAAAUCAGGACUGUUACUUUGAAAAAAUUAGAGUGUUUAAAGCAGGCUCGCGCUUGAAUACAUUAGCAUGGAAUAAUGAAAUAGGACGUUUGAUUCUAUUUUGUUGGUUUCUAGGAUCGACGUAAUGAUUAAUAGGGAUAGUUGGGGGCAUUAGUAUUCAAUUGUCAGAGGUGAAAUUCUUGGAUUUAUUGAAGACUAACUACUGCGAAAGCAUUUGCCAAGGAUGUUUUCAUUAAUCAAGAACGAAAGUUAGGGGAUCGAAGACGAUCAGAUACCGUCGUAGUCUUAACCAUAAACUAUGCCGACUAGGGAUCGGGCGAUGUUGUUUCCAUGACUCGCUCGGCACCUUAUGGG
rnacentral:misc_RNA from 1 species